UACGGAGGGUGCAAGCGUUGUUCGGAAUUACUGGGCGUAAAGCGUGUCUCGGCGGAUUAGUAAGUUAGGUGUUAAAGACCCGGGCUCAACUCGGGGACUGCGCUUAAUACUGCUAGUCUUGAGUAACAGAGGGAUGAGUGGAAUUCCUGGUGUAGCAGUGAAAUGCGUAGAUAUCAGGAGGAACACCUGUGGCGAAAGCGACUCAUUGGCUGUUUACUGACGCUCAAGCACGAAAGCGUGGGUAGCAAACAGG
rnacentral:rRNA from 1 species